rnacentral:rRNA from 4 species
GAACGCUGGCGGCGUGCCUAAUACAUGCAAGUCGAGCGAACAGACGAGGAGCUUGCUCCUCUGACGUUAGCGGCGGACGGGUGAGUAACACGUGGAUAACCUACCUAUAAGACUGGGAUAACUUCGGGAAACCGGAGCUAAUACCGGAUAACAUGUUGAACCGCAUGGUUCAACAGUGAAAGACGGUCUUGCUGUCACUUAUAGAUGGAUCCGCGCCGCAUUAGCUAGUUGGUAAGGUAACGGCUUACCAAGGCAACGAUGCGUAGCCGACCUGAGAGGGUGAUCGGCCACACUGGAACUGAGACACGGUCCAGACUCCUACGGGAGGCAGCAGUAGGGAAUCUUCCGCAAUGGGCGAAAGCCUGACGGAGCAACGCCGCGUGAGUGAAGAAGGUCUUCGGAUCGUAAAACUCUGUUAUUAGGGAAGAACAAAUGUGUAAGUAACUAUGCACGUCUUGACGGUACCUAAUCAGAAAGCCACGGCUAACUACGUGCCAGCAGCCGCGGUAAUACGUAGGUGGCAAGCGUUAUCCGGAAUUAUUGGGCGUAAAGCGCGCGUAGGCGGUUUUUUAAGUCUGAUGUGAAAGCCCACGGCUCAACCGUGGAGGGUCAUUGGAAACUGGAAAACUUGAGUGCAGAAGAGGAAAGUGGAAUUCCAUGUGUAGCGGUGAAAUGCGCAGAGAUAUGGAGGAACACCAGUGGCGAAGGCGACUUUCUGGUCUGUAACUGACGCUGAUGUGCGAAAGCGUGGGGAUCAAACAGGAUUAGAUACCCUGGUAGUCCACGCCGUAAACGAUGAGUGCUAAGUGUUAGGGGGUUUCCGCCCCUUAGUGCUGCAGCUAACGCAUUAAGCACUCCGCC